rnacentral:rRNA from 1 species
GAAUAUUGCGCAAUGGGCGAAAGCCUGACGCAGCCACGCCGCGUGAGUGAUGAAGGCCUUCGGGUUGUAAAGCUCUGUCGGGAGGGACGAAGGAGUUUUCAGAAAUGGCAACCCUUGACGGUACCUCGCAAGAAAGCACCGGCUAACUCUGUGCCAGCAGCCGCGGUAAUACAGAGGGUGCAAGCGUUGCUCGGAUUUACUGGGCGUAAAGCGUACGCAGACGGUGAGAAAGGUCGGAUGUGAAAGCCCCGGGCUCAACCCGGGAACUGCAUCCGAAACCAUCUCGCUAGAGUAUGGGAGAGGGAAGCGGAAUUCCUGGUGUAGAGGUGAAAUUCGUAGAUAUCAGGAGGAACACCUGCGGCGAAGGCGGCUUCCUGGCCCAUUACUGACGUUCAGGUACGAAAGCGUGGGUAGCAAACAG